AGGGGGCUUUUGUGGAGAAAGAGAGAGUUUUUGCAUAUCGGAGUCCGAGUCCUUUUGGAUCAAGAAGAAGAAUCCCCCUUUAUGGAGGGAUACAGGGUUACCUGUGAUGUGACCGGGCGAAUUAAAUGAGUUUCCGUCAUGAUUGAGCACGAUCGUGUGAAUUAAUGCAUUGCCGUGGAAGAUCAGACUGGAGCCAAUGAGUCGUUGUGGGUGAUCGGACGCAGUCGAGUGAGUCAACUGGUUGCCGUAGAGGGCCUGAGAUUUUGGGUAAGCCGGAGAUCCGUGGAUGGCAUGCGCAUUAAUUGUUGAGUGAGCCGGAGAUUUGCGGAGGCCAUGCGCAUUAAUUGUUGACAGCGGUAGCAGGGCAUGGUCCCCAGAGCUGGCGA
rnacentral:lncRNA from 1 species